rnacentral:rRNA from 1 species
UCAAGCGACUAAGUGUAUGUGGUGGAUGCCUUGGCAAAAUCUACAUGGUCGAAGAAGGUACGUCGUCAUCCUGUCGAAAAGCCGUGGGGAGCCUGGCAAGCGAGCCACUGAUGCCACGGAUGUCCGAAUGAGGGAACUCACCCGCAAGGGUAUCUUGAAGUGAAUACAUAGCUUCAAGAGGCGAACGCAGCGAACUGAAACAUCUAAGUAGCUGCAGGAAAAGAAAUCAACCGAGAUUCUGAAAGUAGCGGCGAGCGAAAUUGGAAGAGCCUGCAAGUGAUAUUGAAUUCGAUACUGGAACGGUCUGGAAAGUCCGGCUACAGAGGGUGACAGCCCCGUACGGGAAAUUGGGUUCAAGGUACUGAGCUUGCGAGAAGUAGAGCGGGACACGUGAAUCAUCCUUGCUCGAAGAUGGGGGGACCAUCCUCCAAGGCUAAAUACUCGUAAUCGACCGAUAGCGAACCCAGUACUGUGAAGGAAAGGCGAAAAGAACCCCGGGAGGGGAGUGAAAUAGAUCCUGAAACCGCAUACAUACAAACAGUAGGAGCCCGCAAGGGUGACUGCGUACCUUUUGCAUAAUGGGUCAGCGACUUACGUUCAAUGGCAAGCUUAACCGAGUAGGGGAGGCGCAGCGAAAGCGAGUCCGAACAGGGCGAUAUGAGUCGUUGGGCGUAGACCCGAAACCAGAUGAUCUAUCCAUGGCCAGGCUGAAGGUGUGGUAACACACACUGGAGGGCCGAACCGACUAGUGUUGCAAAAUUAGCGGAUGAGCUGUGGAUAGGGGUGAAAGGCUAAACAAAUCUGGAGAUAGCUGGUUCUCCCCGAAAACUAUUGAGGUAGUGCCUCGUGUAUGGCUCCAGGGGGUAGAGCACUGUUAUGGCUAGGGGGACAUGGCGUCUUACCAAACCAUGGCAAACUCCGAAUACUUGGAAGUCUGAGCACGGGAGACAGAGCACCGGGUGCUAACGUCCGGGACUCAAAAGGGAAACAACCCAGACCGCCGGCUAAGGUCCCUAAUAUUGACUAAGUGGAAAAACGAAGUGGGAAGGCUAAAACAGUCAGGAAGUUGGCUUAAACCACCCCAAUUCACUUUCAAAGAAACCGUAAUAGCUAACUGAUCGAGUCUUCCUGCGCCGGAAAAAUGUAACGGGGCUAAGUCAAUAACCGAAGCCGCGGAUUCGCAGCAAUGCAGUGGUAGGGGAAGCGUUCUGUAAGCCUGCAAGGCGGAUCCGCGAGGACCGCUGGAGGUAUCAGAAGUGCGAAUGCUGACAUGAGUAACGUUAAAGCGGGUGAAAAGCCCCUCGCCAGCCCAAGGGGGGACGGAGUCCUGAAGGUCAUCCGGGUGUUGGACAUCCCGGUUUACGAGCGUAGGAGGUUGACAGGCAAAUCCGUCAACGGAUCUCCAAGGCGAAGGAUCGAGGUUGAGAGAUCAACUGAAGUGACUGAAUGGGCUUCCAGGAAAAGCCUCUAAGCAUCAGCUUGGAAUUGACCGUACCGCAAACCGACACUGGUGGGCGAGCUGAAUAUGAUCAGGCGCUUGAGAGAACACAGGAGAAGGAACUCGGCAAAUUGACACCGUAACUUCGGGAUAAGGUGUGCCUUUGUAGUGUGAAGAGAGAAACACUCCGAGCAUGAAGAGGCCUCAGAGAAUCGGUGGCUGCAACUGUUUACUAAAAACACAGCACUCCUGCAAAGAUGAAAGUACGACGUAUAGGGUGUGAUGCCUGCCCGGUGCUGGAAGAUUAAUUGAUGGGGUGCAAGCUCCUGAUCGAAGUCCCAGUAAACGGCGGCCGUAACUAUAACGGUCCCUAAAGGAGCGAAAUUCCUUGUCGGGCAAGUUCCGACCUGCAGAAUGGCAAAUGAUGGCCACACUGUCUCCUCCUAGACUCAGUAAGUUGAAAUGUUUGUGAUGAUGCAAUCUCCCCCGGCUAGACGGAAAGACCCCAUAACCUUACUGCAGCUUUGCAUUGGACUUUGAUACCGAUCUGUGUAGGAUAGGUGGGAGGCAGUGAAGCUAGGACGCCAGUCUUAGCGGAGCCAACCUUCAAAUACCACCCUGAUUUGUUUGAGGUUACUAACCUAGGCAGACGUAAGCCGAUUGCGGGGCACCGUGCAUCCUAGGCAGUUUGAUGGGCGGUCUCCUCCUAAAGGGUAACGGAGGAGUGCGAAGGUACGCUAGGUACGGUCGGAAAUCGUGCUGAUAGUGCAAUGGCAAAAGCGUGCUUGACUGCGAGACCGACAAGUCGAGCAGAUACGAAAGUAGGUCAUAGUGAUCCGGUGGCUCUGCAUGGAAGGGCCAUCGCUCAACGGAUAAAAGGUACUCUGGGGAUAACAGGCUGAUACCGCCCAAGAGUUCAUAUCGACGGCGGUGUUUGGCACCUCGAUGUCGGCUCAUCUCAUCCUGGGGCUGUAGCCGGUCCCAAGGGUAUGGCUGUUCGCCAUUUAAAGAGGUACGUGAGCUGGGUUUAAAACGUCGUGAGACAGUUUUGUCCCUAUCUGCCGUGGGCGUUGGAAGAUUGACGGGGGCUGCUCCUAGUACGAGAGGACCGGAGUGGACUCACCUCUGGUGUACCGGUUGUCACGCCAGGGCAUCGCCGGGUAGGCUAUGUGGGAAAGGAAAACA